rnacentral:lncRNA from 1 species
UUUCAGGCGGCCUCCUGAGAAAUGUUUGCAAUUGUAAGGCGUCUCUCUCAUCCAGGUUUACCCAGAUUCGCAAACUAUGGCGACAAACAACCAUAGCAGAAGCAUGUCCGGAUUAUUUCACAUAUAUCACAAAAUCCUGCAAAGGGUCUGUCCCCAUUGGAUCACCUCCCAUCACGCCACACACGACGUGAAUGACUUCGUGCUUCUCCAUACCUGCAUUGAUCUCUGGGUCCAUUGCCAGUUAUAAACCUCCAAGGGCAAUAGCCAUGAGGUGAUGUACAGUCAAGCAUCACUUAAUAACCAGGAUACAUUCUGAGAAAUUUGUCGUUAGGCAAUUUUUUCAUUGCACGAACCUCACAGAGUGUACUUACACUAACCUAGAUAGUAGCAUCCAGUAAACACCUGGGCUAUAUGGUCUAGCCUAUUGCUCCUAGGCUACAAACCUGUAUAGCAUGUUACUGUACUGAAUAUGUAGGCACUUGUAACACAAUGGUAAGUGUUUUUGUAUCUAAACAUAUCUAAACAUAGGAGAGGUAAUGCAUUGUGCUACAGCAUUACAAUGGCUAUGACAGACACUAGGCAAUAGGAAUUUUCCAGCUCCAUUAUAAUCUUAAGGGACCACCAUGGCACAUGCAGCCCAUUGUUGACCAAAAGUUGUUAUGUGGUGAAUGACUAUAAUUGGCUUUUCAGAGCAACCACUCACAAGGGGGUGUAGUAUAGCUUACUAGACAAAACUGCAGCCGCUGCUCUGUUUUUUGCUCUUAGAAAACUGAGUACCUGAUUUGGACAAAAUCAUAAUAAAAUUUAGAUAGAGCCAACAUUUGUCCUCUGGAAGUUUCUGACAAGAUACAAGUCACCGUUAUAAUAGUCAAAUGUCAAAGUGGUAUAUCUAACAAAAUUAAAACAGACAGCUAGGAGUGAGAAGAUUUAAGAAAAUUCAGGUGGCCCAAAGGAAAGCCAAGACAAGACAUUCUCUCCCGGCCUUUGGGCCUGGAUUUUCAUUUCAGCAGGUAACGAGGAGACCAAAGGCCUAGUUAUUUAUGGAGAUCUGGGGCCACAGCAGAGCUCCUCAUGGCAGGAUAAGGCAGUGGAAAGCAGACUCAACGGUUAACCCACAGUCCUCCUCAGCAAGCUGGGAGAAGCAACUGAUGCCACUUAGAUGCUUAGACCGGGCCUUCUGGGAGAGAUCUGGCCCAAGGAGCAGCCGGCAGCUUGACACAGUGACCAAUUGGAAGCACAGCAGCCACACGCCAUGAAACAAGAGAGCCAGCUGGUGGACCGCAGAGACAGACUUCCAGCCAGGGCCAAGCCCUUCAGGAAGGGAGUCAUGCACCAAACUCAGCUAACAGACCACCAGGGCACCACUGGGUCUCCUGCUGGGGAACAGCACACCUAUGGGUGGGCUCUAGGGGUGGGGUGGCCUGGUUGCUGGUUCUGCUCUGCCACUUCUUAGCUGGACUUGAGCAAUUUGUAACAUUUCUUGGCUCAGUUUCUCCACCUGCACAAUCAAAAUAUCACUACCUUCCUCCAAGAUUGCAUUAAGUGUGACAAUUUAUGUAAAGCACUUAGUCCAGUGCCUGGCACCUAGUAAGUACUGAAUAGUGAAAACAAUUUAAGUCUAACAAAUCCACACACCAUGACGUCAGACAAAUUAGGCAUCUUUCAUUGCUGUUGUGAAAAUUGCGCUAACUCUAAACUCUAACGUACAUCUGGCUCACUGUCUUUCUGUAAGACCAGUCAGAGCAGCAGCUCCUUCCUUGGUAAAAUACUUUAAAAAACUCCCAUUCCUGGCUGGGCACCGGGGCUCACGCCUGUAAUCCCAGUAGAUUGGGAGG